GGGGUUGUGGCUCAGUGGUAGAGCACUUGCCUAGCAUGCCUAAGGCACUGGGUUUGAUUCUCAGCAACACAU
rnacentral:tRNA from 1 species